rnacentral:misc_RNA from 1 species
UAGGUUUUGGUUGGUAUAGUUUUUUUUUUAAAAAUCCUUCGGAGAAUAUUAAAUCACUUUAUCAUAAAAAUUUAUUCAGUUUUGCACAACCAAAUAUAAACCAACAAGCUCAGAAAGACAAUCCCAAGGAAUAACACGAGACAAUUUAGACAUCUCUUCUAGGACCAGAUCUAAAAGAAAAACUAUACCAACCAAAACCUACUGGAAAGAGCCGCUUAUAUUAAAACAUACAUCUAGUUCUAUGGAUCUCAUAAAAUUUCAGUCAAUCAAGAAUUCCGGUAGUUUCUUCAAAAAACCUAAUGGCCAAAAUGCACCUAGCAAAUCUAUGUAACUGACCACCUUUCAAUAUCUUUCCCCAAACCGAAAGAACAAUGAUCCAGUACCAGUAUUAUGAUCAACAGCAUACUCUGCACGCACCAAACCCAGCUUGACACCAACACCAUAUGAUGAACCAUGACCCAUUCUCCUGUAGACCUCUGUUGGGUUCCCCUUGACAUCCUUAAGUUCCCAGAUCAUUUCCAUGCUCUGCAAAUGCAUACAAGUGCGUUUUUCCCACAGGUAUCCGUAUUUCAGCUCCAAGCUCAAUGAUGUUUCUAGCUGCUCCCAAUUCACCCAUAUUGUAGCCUCUCACAGAAUAAGGUCCCCCAAGGGUAAAAGCAUCAUAACUUGGAAGAUCUCCUACACACCCGCCAUAAUGACCAUGCAGGACUAGUACGGGUGGUGGUGAUUUACCAGCACCUUCCUCCACUUGCUUCAACUGUACAAAUCGUGUGAUGGUUAGUUGGUGACGGUUAAAGAAAGGAAACUUGCUGCCAAUUCCAAGGCCUUGGUCCACCUGAAACACAUUCCUCUCACCAACUAUAGCUCCAUUUAUGAAUUUGGUGUUAUCACGCGUGAUAUUUGCUUGUAAGAAUGUCAUUCGGUCAAUGCCGGUACCNNNGGUACCACUGAGGGUUGUUGGAGGUCCAUCUGCGCUGAUUCCUCCACUCGGCAACACUCUUUGACCAUUGGCAGAGAUAUGACUGCUUUCAUCACGUGUUGUUAUCUCUUCCAUCACAAUUCCAUAAGUGAAUUUACUCUGACGGGUGAAAUUCUCUGUAAUGUUAGCUUUAAGGCCAGCACGAUCAACCCAUAUAGGAGGGACUUCAUCCACUCCUGGCCCACCAGUGAAGACUGGACUUAGUUUCCGACUGUUGAAGCAGCUUGCACGGAGAGUACGGUUGGAUGGAUUAUAUACACCAUCCAAAUAUGGAUGAACAUACUCAAGCUUAAAAGCAAGAUCAUCCUGAGGGAAGAAGAAAUUGCUGGUGGUUAUUGAACCAAGAAUGGAUCGAUUAAGCCCUUUGAUAUUCCGAUGUUCAAAAGAAACAGUUCCACCUGGCUGGAAUGAAGCCAAUGUAGGNNNCGUCCAGGAACAAUACUCCACUCGGUACUAACUUCAGCUGAUUUUGGCUCUAGUUCUUUAAGUUUAAUCUCAACAAUUAUUCCUCCCUCAUUCUUCUCAUCAGGCCUUGGAUUCACCUCAAUAUUCGAAAAUAAGGCCAAUGAGUUUAUGUUCCUGAGAGCUUGUUUCCCAGCUUCAAUGUUAAAAACUUGACCUUGUCUAAGCUGUUUGGGCAAUUCUCUCUUGACAACAGAAAGCUGUGUGUUCCCUUCGACAACAUUCCCAAGCUUAUCUAGGAACUGA